GGGUGCUUGGCGCAAUGGCUAGCGUGUUUGGCUUCGAUGUGCCGCUUACGUAACCACGUACCAAAAGGUUGCAGGUUCGAGUCCUGCAGUGCUCA